rnacentral:rRNA from 1 species
AAAGCCUUCGGGUGAGUACAGCGGCGGACGGGUGAGUAACACGUAGGAAUUCGCCCAGUAGUGGGGGAUAACGUUUCGAAAGGAACGCUAAUACCGCAUACGCCCUACGGGGGAAAGGGGGCUUCGGCUCUCGCUAUUGGAGAAGCCUGCGUCGGAUUAGCUAGUUGGUGGGGUAAAGGCCUACCAAGGCGACGAUCCGUAGCUGGUCUGAGAGGAUGAUCAGCCACAUCGGGACUGAGACACGGCCCGA